UGGGGAAUUUUGCACAAUGGGGGAAACCCUGAUGCAGCGACGCCGCGUGAUUUAGAAGGCCUUCGGGUUGUAAAAAUCUUUUGUAUAGGAAGAAAAUGACAGUACUAUACGAAUAAGGACCGGCUAAUUACGUGCCAGCAGCCGCGGUAAUACGUAAGGUCCGAGCGUUGUCCGGAAUCCUUGGGCGUAAAGGGUACGUAGGCGGGUAAGCAAGUUAGAAGUGAAAUCCUAUAGCUAAACUAUAGUAAGCUUUUAAAACUGCUCAUCUUGAGGUAUGGAAGGGCAAAUGGAAUUCCUAGUGUAGCGGUGAAAUGCGCAGAUAUUAGGAGAAAUACAGGUGGCGAAGGAGACUUUCUGGCCAUAACCUGACGCUGAGGUACGAAAGCUUGGGUAGCAAACAGG
rnacentral:rRNA from 1 species